CCUACGGGUGGCAGCAGUAGGGAAUUUUCGUCAAUGGACGCAAGCCUGAACGAGCAAUGCCGCGUGAACGAGGAAGGUCUUCGGAGCGUAAAGUUCUGUUGAAGGGGGAAAAGAGCGGAGCGAGGACAUGCUUUCUUAUUUAUCUUACCCUUCGAGGCCGUCCCGGCUAAAUCCGUGCCAGCAGCCGCGGUAAUACGUAGGUGGCGAGCGUUACCCGGAAUGAUUGGGCGUAAGGGGGGCGUAGGCGGCCUGCGAAGUCUGGAGUGAAAGUUACCGGCUCAAACGGGACAGGGCCGGGAAACCGGCGGGAUAGAGAGGAGGAGAGGGUGGUGGAAAUGCAUGGGGAGCGGGAAAAGGCUAAGAUAUAGGGAAGAAAAUCAGUGGGGAAGGGGGGCGCAUGGAAUGGCAACUGACGCUGAGGCACGAAAGCGUGGGGAGCAAAUAGGAUUAGAUACCCGUGUAGUC
rnacentral:rRNA from 1 species